rnacentral:lncRNA from 1 species
AAUGAACAACUACAUCAUUUCAUUUGCAUAACAGGUACGAUAAAAAAUCCAAACAGUACCAAACAUCAAAACCAAGUCAACACUAAACAAUGUUUUGUGCAUAAUGUAAAUGAUUACCUGGCAUUGGUGUGUGUUAGUCCCAAUUGAUCAAUAAUGAAAAUGAUUUCCGGAGCAUCAAUGUCAUGGUCCACCUUAUCAGCAGUAGCCUGGAAACCUGGAUUAUUUUGUCCACCUCAUCAGCAGUAGCCUGAAAUCCUCAUGCGACAAUCUGGUAAGGGCUACCCCAAGUUUUCUCUUCUCUUCGGUCGACAUUUUUCUGAAACAAUGUUCUCAAGAUAAGAUAUGUUUGUUGGAGAAGCAUUCAUAUGCAACUCUGUUCUUGCACAAAAACACACAGAGUCGCUCUUUCUAUCCACAUGCACUCACACAUGGCCAUAGCAUACACACAUCAAUAAUACAGAUUUUACAAAUAAAUUUUUAUUACAUUACAUCAACAUGUAGAUGUCAAACAUAUUAAACUAAGAUACAAUGUUACUGAACAACUUGCACUUUUGAACAACUAUUUCUCGGAGUUCUUCCAAAUGUAUAUCAACCAUAAAGCUGAAAACAAAAGAUCAUAACGGAGUCCAUUAUAAGUUUAGCCAUUGAAAUAAACUAUAUCUACAAAGGCUUCCAUUCGAUGUUAAUCAUAUGCAUAUAAAAAGGUUUGAAGUCAUAAAUCAGCAACAACAAAAAAAG